CCUGGGGAACUUAUACAGACUGAAACAAAGGUGCUGUGGGGAGUUUGACAGCAGAGACUGAGGAAACCACAUCUCAUCAGCUGCUUGGAUCCAGUGGGCUGCACUGCGACACACUUCUCGCUGUGGCCCCCCCUCCAGAUUCCACAUUCAGGACAUAAAGACGAGUAAAAAAGACAGCUCAACUUGGGUUUCAUGACCACCUCACACCCAACAAGUAGGAUCAUUGGAGUAUGCAUCAACUGAGGACUCAACAACAAGGACUGCCUGAUUGCCUGGGGCAAGUGAAAUACCAACCCAGGAAACAGUGUUCAUGUCCCGUGUGAAACCAAAUGAAAUUUGACUUAUCUUGAGGUACAUUGUCACCACAUUUCUUUCCUUAACCUAACCUACAUAACUCUAAUUUCCUAAAACUAGCCUAUGUAACUUUACAUUAAAGUAUAUAACUCACGGGAGGCUGGAGCCUAUCCCAGCUGACAUUAGGUGAGAGGCAGGGUACACCCUGGACAGGUCACCAGACCAUCACAGGGCUGACACAUAGAGACAGACAACCAUUCACACUCACAUUCACACCUACGGACAAUUUAGAGUCACCAGUUAACCUGCAUGCCUUUGGACUGUGGGAGGAAGCUGGAGUACCUGGAGAAAACCCACGCUGACACAGGGAGAAUCCAUCUUGCUGUGAGGUGACAAUGCUAACCACUGCACACCGUGCCGCCUUAAGAAAUUCCAUGCCAGGCGAGUAAAUCUAGCAAAGUACCUGUUAGAGUGGGAAAGUGGUAAAAAAGAAUUCAACACAAUGUUUUGUUUUGUAGGGGAUGAUGGAAGUACCUAAGGAGUGUGCCAUCCCGCUUUCUUCUCAUCUCUGCUGACAGUUGCACAUGUGCAGUACCACUUGCUAGAAAACGGCGGAGGAUUCAUCCAUCUGCAGUUCGUGGCAAUCAUGGGAAGUCAGUGUGGCCACUGUUUUGCAGACUGUCCUGUCAGACCUCAGCGGUUAAUUGGCUGACAUGGGAGGGUUGUCAGCUGAUUAGGCACACCUGGGACCUUUGGCUAGAAGAGCUGCCUCAUGUGUUCACUCUGUCUCUCCCCUCCCACGGCCGACACCCACUGUGAAAUCACUUUCCUUUUGGUCCGCACCUUCAACACCUCCAUGCAAUACUUUUAUUGUUG